ensembl:lncRNA
GGGAUGUUCUCUGUUUAGUGAGUCCUCCAGAUCAGAGGCAGUAGGGAUGACCGGGGAUGUUCUCUGUUUAGUGAGUCCUCCAGAUCAGAGGCAGUAGGGAUGACCGGGGAUGUUCUCUGUUUAGUGAGUCCUCCAGAUCAGAGGCAGUAGGGAUGACCGGGGAUGUUCUCUGUUUAGUGAGUCCUCCAGAUCAGAGGGCAUAGGGAUGACCAGGGAUGUUCUCUGUUUAAUGAGUCCUCCAGAUCAGAGGCAGUAGGGAUGACCAGGGAUGUUCUCUGUUUAGUGAGUCCUCCAGAUCAGAGGCAGUAGGGAUGACCAGGGAUGUUCUCUGUUUAGUGAGUCCUCCAGAUCAGAUGCAGUAGGGAUGACCAGGGAUGUUCUCUGUUUAGUGAGUCCUCCAGAUCAGAGGCAGUAGGGAUGACCAGGGAUGUUCUCUGUUUAAUGAGUCCUCCAGAUCAGAGGCAGUGGGGAUGACCAGGGAUGUUCUCCGUUUAAUGAGUCCUCCAGAUCAGAGGCAGUAGGGAUGACCAGGGAUGUUCUCUGUUUAGUGAGUCCACCAGAUCAGAGGCAGUAGGGAUGACCAGGGAUGUUCUCUGUUUAGCGAAUCCUCCAGAUCAGAG